UGCGUAGGCGGUGCUCUAAGUCGGAUGUGAAAACUCUGGGCUCAACCCAGAGCCUGCAUCCGAAACUGGAGUGCUAGAGUUCUGGAGGGGGUAGCGGAAUUCCUGGUGUAGCGGUGAAAUGCGUAGAUAUCAGGAGGAACACCGGUGGCGAAGGCGGCUACCUGGACAGAAACUGACGCUGAGGCAAGCUAGGGGAGCAAACA
rnacentral:rRNA from 1 species